rnacentral:misc_RNA from 1 species
GAUGAAGAACGUAGCGAAAUGCGAUACGUAAUGUGAAUUGCAGAAUUCAGUGAAUCAUCGAAUCUUUGAACGCAUAUUGCGCUCUCUGGUAUUCCGGAGAGCAUGCUUGUUUGAGUAUCAGUAAACACCUCAACUUCCAUAUCUUUUUUUGAAAUGGGAGUUGGACUUGAGUGAUCCCAACGCUUUUCCUCACCGAAAAGUGGCGGGUUACUUGAAAUGCAGGUGCAGCUGGACUUUUCUCUGAGCUAUAAGCAUAUCUAUUUAGUCUGCCUAAAAAACAGAUUAUUACCUUUGCUGCAGCUAACAUAAAGGAGAUUAGUUCUUGUGCUGACUGAUGCAGGAUUCACAAAGACAGCUUCGGCCGACUUUGUAAACUCGAUCUCAAAUCAAGUAAGACUGCCCGCUGAACUUAAGCAUAUCAAUAAGCGGAGGA